GAACGAACGCUGGCGGCAUGCCUAACACAUGCAAGUCGAACGAGACCUUCGGGUCUAGUGGCGCACGGGUGCGUAACGCGUGGGAACCUGCCCUUAGGUUCGGAAUAACUCCCCGAAAGGGGUGCUAAUACCGGAUAAUGUCUUCGGACCAAAGAUUUAUCGCCUUUGGAUGGGCCCGCGUUGGAUUAGCUAGUUGGUAGGGUAAAAGCCUACCAAGGCGACGAUCCAUAGCUGGUCUGAGAGGAUGAUCAGCCACACUGGGACUGAGACACGGCCCAGACUCCUACGGGAGGCAGCAGUGGAGAAUAUUGGACAAUGGGCGAAAGCCUGAUCCAGCAAUGCCGCGUGAGUGAUGAAGGCCUUAGGGUUGUAAAGCUCUUUUACCCGGGAUGAUAAUGACAGUACCGGGAGAAUAAGCUCCGGCUAACUCCGUG
rnacentral:rRNA from 1 species